GACGAACGCUGGCGGCGUGCUUAACACAUGCAAGUCGAGCGGUAAGGCCUUUCGGGGUACACGAGCGGCGAACGGGUGAGUGACACGUGGGUGAUCUGCCCUGCACUUCGGGAUAAGCCUGGGAAACUGGGUCUAAUACCGGAUAUGACCUCCUAUCGCAUGGUGGGUGGUGGAAAGAUUUAUCGGUGCAGGAUGGGCCCGCGGCCUAUCAGCUUGUUGGUGGGGUAAUGGCCUACCAAGGCGACGACGGGUAGCCGACCUGAGAGGGUGACCGGCCACACUGGGACUGAGACACGGCCCAGACUCCAACGGGAGGCAGCAGUGGGGAAUAUUGCACAAUGGGCGAAAGCCUGAUGCAGCGACGCCGCGUGAGGGAUGACGGCCUUCGGGUUGUAAACCUCUGUCAGCAGGGACGAAGCGCAAGUGACGGUACCUGCAGAAGAAGCACCGGCUAACUACGUG
rnacentral:rRNA from 1 species